rnacentral:rRNA from 1 species
UACGAAGGGUGCAAGCGUUUAAUCGGAAUUACUGGGCGUAAAGGGCGCGUAGGCGGCUCUGCACUGUUCGUUGUGAAAUCGCCCGGCUCAACUGGGCGGGGUCAGCGGAUACGGCAGAGCUUGAGCAAGCUAGGGGGCAAUGGAAUUCCCGGUGUAGUGGUGGAAUGCGUAGAUAUCGGGAGGAACACCAGUGGCGAAGGCGGUUGCCUGGGGCUUUGCUGACGCUGGAUGCGCGAAAGCGUGGGGAGCGAGUCCGG